rnacentral:rRNA from 1 species
AGCAGCCGCGGUAAUUCCAGCUCCAAUAGCGUAUAUUAAAGUUGUUGCAGUUAAAAAGCUCGUAGUUGAAUUUCGGGAUCAAUAUGUUGGUCGUGCCUCGGUACGUACUAGCUUAUUGGUUUCUCCUUUCUGAAGAACCAUGAUGUCAUUUAUUUGGUGUCGUGGGGAAUCAGGACUGUUACUUUGAAAAAAUUAGAGUGUUUAAAGCAGGCUCACGCUUGAAUACAUUAGCAUGGAAUAAUGAAAUAGGACGUUUGAUUCUAUUUUGUUGGUUUCUAGGAUCGACGUAAUGAUUAAUAGGGAUAGUUGGGGGCAUUAGUAUUCAAUUGUCAGAGGUGAAAUUCUUGGAUUUAUUGAAGACUAACUACUGCGAAAGCAUUUGCCAAGGAUGUUUUCAUUAAUCAAGAACGAAAGUUAGGGGAUCGAAGACGAUCAGAUACCGUCGUAGUCUUAACCAUAAACUAUGCCGACUAGGGAUC